UCCAGACUCCUACGGGAGGCAGCAGUGGGGAAUAUUGCACAAUGGGGGAAACCCUGAUGCAGCGACGCCGCGUGAGUGAAGAAGUAUUUCGGUAUGUAAAGCUCUAUCAGCAGGGAAGAAAUAGCGACCUUUGGGUCGCCAGACGGUACCUGAUUAAGAAGCCCCGGCUAACUACGUGCCAGCAGCCGCGGUAAUACGUAGGGGGCAAGCGUUAUCCGGAUUUACUGGGUGUAAAGGGAGCGUAGACGGCAGCGCAAGUCUGAAGUGAAAUGCCGGGGCUUAACCCCGGAACUGCUUUUGAAACUGUGUGACUGGAGUGCAGGAGAGGUAAGCGGAAUUCCUGGUGUAGCGGUGAAAUGCGUAGAUAUCAGGAGGAACACCAGUGGCGAAGGCGGCUUACUGGACUGUAACUGACGUUGAGGCUCGAAAGCGUGGGGAGCAAACAGGAUUAGAUACCCCUGUAA
rnacentral:rRNA from 1 species